UGGGGAAUAUUGCACAAUGGGCACAAGCCUGAUGCAGCCAUGCCGCGUGUAUGAAGAAGGCCUUCGGGUUGUAAAGUACUUUCAGCGGGGAGGAAGGGAGUAAAGUUAAUACCUUUGCUCAUUGACGUUACCCGCAGAAGAAGCACCGGCUAACUCCGUGCCAGCAGCCGCGGUAAUACGGAGGGUGCAAGCGUUAAUCGGAAUUACUGGGCGUAAAGCGCACGCAGGCGGUCUGUCAAGUCGGAUGUGAAAUCCCCGGGCUUAACCCGGGAAUUGCAUCUGAUACUGGGCAGCUAGAGUCUUGUAGAGGGGAGUAGAAUUCCAUGUGUGGCGGUGUAAUGCGUAGAGAUGUGGAGGAAUACCGGUGGCGAAGGCGGCCCCCUGGACAAAGACUGACGCUCAGGUGCGAAAGCGUGGGGAGCAAACAGG
rnacentral:rRNA from 1 species